CACACCCGCUCUGGCUGUCCUCUGCCUCUCUCGUUCUCCCGCGCGUGCGUGUGCAGGGUCGAAGCCCACCAGCCGGCGCCGACUGAUCCGUUUCCUUCUCCACUUACGCUCUCCGAAAGGAACAGUAACCUCAGCGCGGAGCCUCGACAACUCUUCCUUUUCUCUUACACUACUGUUUGGAAGUUGGCGCUUGGCAGAAUCACCAUUACCAAUGCCCGUCCCGAGCUUGCAGAAGUCCGCGAAGGCCUCGUCGCAUGCACUUGCCCUGGAGGAUGGCAGCGACGUUGGCGUGAGGGCAAGCUCGACCGCGUCGCCGCUGCCGCCACGCAGCUCCAAGGCACCAGUGCCUGUUGCUUCUCAGUACGCAGCCAAUGACAUGGAGGCAGUGGAGUUGGACCCUGCUGCUCUGUGGGCAGCGCUCGACCUUCCAGCACCGGAAUCGAUGCCGUCACAGCACACGUCGCGCCGUGUCGUUUUACUCGGACGCCCGCUCAGCGGCAAGCGCACCCUCUGCCGACGACUGUGCUUUGCAGCGGAGGCGCAGUAUGCCGGCAGCGAUGAAGCCGCUGACGGCGGCCACGAGCGCGACGCCGUCGCGGCGGACAACGACCGGCGGCCACUCUAUCACCCAAGCACCGACGACGACGAGGAUGCAGCCCUCUUCCCCAACCAGCACGUCGGCGGAUGUGACAUGCCCGGAGCCUACUCGAGUGGUGGUGCAUUCCAGCGGUGCACGGCGGUUGGACCGCAAGACCGUGCGAACCCACUGUCCCACGGAUCGGGUGUGUGCUAUGACUACGUGGUUCAGCGAGUGCCGACGCGAGCCGCGCACGGUGGUGGUGCCUCUGGCGGCGACUCUGCGUCUUCAACUCAGCGCUCAUCUGCGGGGUUCCUGAUGACUCCUCUUGGUGGGACGGUGCGCCGCAUGACGGAGUUUUUUUGCUGUGACAACGCCGGCGCCUUGUCAAUGGCUCUGCCGACGCUCGAUUACGUCGAGUCGGCGCUCGUGCUUAUGGUGGUCGAUGCCAGUGAUGUGUCGACGAUUCGCCAACAGCUCGAUUACUGCUACUCGACGCUAGAGAACUAUGUAGCCAACCUACUUCGUACGCACGCACCGAACCACGACGAGGUGCGCCGCAUGCAGCUCGCCGCGGCGCAGCAGGAGUACUGGUUGGCCGAGGAGCAGAAGCUGCGCACCGUGCGCACGAACUUGGCGAGUAGCAGCAGCGGCAGCGGCACUGCAGGCGCUACUACCGCCGUUUCUUCUUCUUCCUUCACUAAGGAAUGCAUGCCUGACGUUCUCUUCAAGGACCCGGCAGCGAACAUGGACAAGGUGAACAGCACUACGUUUCGUGUGCCCGCCUCUGCCGGUACGGUGUGCACGAUGCGCAGCAUCAUUGUGUGCACCAAGAUCGAGAAUCUCGACCGUGCGUCGCGAGCGCUGGGGCUGACGGAAAGCGGCACCGCCGAAAAUGAGGCGCUGCUCGAUCGCCUCGACAUCCCGGUCGGGCUGCGCCUCGCCAUGCGGAACUCGCGGCAGUCGCUGCUGGGCUUGGUGUCGCAGCUGGUGCGUCAGUACGCCAUCUAUCACCGAGCCGCUCUGGCGUCGGUGUGUUCGCGCGUGUCCAUGACGACUGCAGGCGCCGAGGGCGAAUACGCCAACUCGGCACUGGUGAAUCCCUUCUAUAAGGGCCUAUGGGCGUACAUCGCGUACGUGUUGUACAGCGGCAAGGACCCGAACGCGUCGCUGUCGAGCGACGUCCUACGCGUCUGCUCUGCACGAAUGCACCCACAUGCGCUGCUGCCGUGCGGCCUCGAUUCCGUGGACCUGCUGAGCCACUUUGUCACCUCGAGCAACGCAGAGCUGCCCGAAGGGCCGUCCCUGACGUCGCCGGAGGACACUGCCGACUCGGUCAUCCGCACAACAUCCGAGAACGUCAUCACACCCGACGGCGUCUUCUCACUUCACCAGAGGUACAUUCAGCAGGCGCAGGCGGACCUGACGAGCUCGGCGCCGCUGUGGGGCAGCCCCGAGGAGGUCACGCAGGGCGGUGAGGGCAUGGUGUGGGACUCCAUGUAGAGGGAGGCGCCGAGCGAAGAAAAAAAAACGGGCAGGAGGUGCUUGUGCCCGUUGUUGUGCUUGCCACGGAGAUAGGGGCAAGGACAACGUUGCCGCUUGCAGCUGAUGCCAUUCCGAGGCUCCUGGCUGUCCUUGUGUUUUUUCGCCCCGCCCUCCGCCGCAGAGCCAUGCCAACCUCAACACAGGCGCCGACUUGCCGCCACCAUGGCGGUAGGCGGCUGCGUGUGGAUACCUUUCUCUCGCUAUGCCGGACUCAUCCAUCUUAUACCACAGCACGCAGCAGGGCAG
rnacentral:misc_RNA from 1 species